rnacentral:rRNA from 1 species
AUGGAGCAGCUCCGGCAGCUCGGCGAGGUGGUGGGCAGCAUCAACGCGCUCAUGGCGUUCGAGUCCGACCUCCGCAUCAACCCUCGCCAGUGCCGCCUCCUCGCCGAAACCUGCGCGCACGCGCUGGACGCCGUCACCGGCAAUGUCCGCGCCCACCUUCGCUUCGACGAGCGCGGCACCAAGUGGCGCCCCCUGGAGUCCCCGCUCCGAGAGCUCCACCGCGCGCUCCGCGACGCCGAGGGCUACGUCCGGCAGUGCCUCGACCCGCGCGGCAGCUGGUGGGCCCGCGCCGCGGCCAUGGCGCACGGCACGGAGUGCGUCGAGCACCACCUCCACAACAUCCUGUGGUGCGUCUCCGUCGCCAUCGAUGCUAUCGAGGCCGCCGGGGAGAUCGCCGGCUCCGAGGCGGAUGAUCAUGCGCGGACGCGGCUUCUGCUCGCCAACAGGUACGACAGGGACAUGCUUGAGCCAAAGCUGUUCCAGCUCGCGCUCGGCAAGCGCUACUUGGUAUCCCGAGAACUGGUCGUUCGGAUGGACGCGGCGUGGAAGGAGGACAGGUGGGCGCUGUCGCAGCUGCUCGACGAAAUGACGGGCCCGGCGGCACCGAAGCGCCUGACCAAGAACGAGCACCGCCUCGCCGAGGUCCUCGCCGCGCCGAGGGGGAGGCUGCACCCGGCGUCCAUUCUGCUUGGAGGCGACUACAGCGUCCGCAGGAGGUUAGGCGGCCGCCUCAAGGAGGUGCAAUGGAUGGGGGAAAGCUUCGCGAUGAAGCAUUUCAUCGGGGACGGCGAGGCCGUCGGCGCCGAGAUCGAGCUCCUGGCGUCGGUGGCGCACCCGAACGUCGCGCACGCCACCUACUGCUUCCACGACGAGGAGAGGAAGGAGUACUUUGUCCUCAUGGACCAGCUCAUGGCCAAGGACCUGGGGAGCUACGUCAAGGAGGUGAGCUGCCCGCGGCGGCGGACACCGUUCCCUGUCAUCGUCGCCAUCGACAUCAUGCUGCAGAUCGCGCGCGGGAUGGAGUACCUGCACGCCAAGAGAAUAUACCACGGCGAGCUGAACCCGUCCAAUGUGCUCGUGAGGCCGCGGCAACCCGACGGCGGCUCCGUUCAGGUCAAGGUCACCGGGUUCGGGCAGUCCGGCAUCGCAACGGGCGCCAAUGUCAACGGCGACGAUAACGCCUGCAUCUGGUACGCGCCUGAGGUGCUCAAGCCGGAGGUCGCGGAUGCAGGGUCCAGGCGCACCGAGAAGGCCGACGUGUACAGCUUCGCCAUGAUCUGCUUCGAGCUCCUGACCGGCAAGGUCCCGUUCGAGGACAACCACCUGCAGGGCGACAAGACAAGCAAGAACAUCCGCGCCGGCGAGCGGCCGCUGUUCCCGUUCCAGACGCCCAAGUACCUGACCGCCCUCACCAAGCGGUGCUGGCACGCCGACCCGGAGCAGCGGCCGGGGUUCUCCUCCGUCUGCCGCGUCCUCCGGUACGUGAAGCGGUUCCUGGUCAUGAACCCGGAGCAGCAGCAGCAGGCUGGGCAGGGCGACGAGUCCAUCGUGCCACCCGUGGACUACCUGGACGUGGAGAUGCAGCUGCUGAGGAGGCUCCCGGCGUGGCAGCGAGGUGAGGGCGCCCGCGUGUCGGACGUGCCGUUCCAGAUGUUCGCGUACAAGGUGUUGGAGAGGGAGAAGACCGCAGGCGUGGUGCAGGCCAAGGACAAGGCCUCCGACUCGGGCAGCGAAGGGAACUCGCUGUACGGCGAUGAGAACGGCGUCGGGGCAAUGUCGCCGGACCACCCUUCCUCGGCGGCGUCGAACGGCGCCAUGAGGCCGCUGCCGGACAGCAGCGAUGGCAAGAAGCCGCCGUCGGCGAAGAAGGCGGACGGCAAGGCGGCCAGGCAACCAGUUGCAGGGCAUCCGCAGAAGGUGAAACCGGGCAACCCGGCAAGGACUCCGCAGGCGCCAAGACGGACGCUCGGAGUGAAGACCGACGGCGUCCCGUAG